GUGUUUAUAAUGAUCCUAACUUGGCUCGCCGGGAAAUCCAACAGAGAUAAUAUCUAUGCUCUCCAAAACUCAAUAGACUACCUAGAGGAGUCCCUUGAGUACUUUAAAAAAGAGGCUUGAGGAAGCAAAAGUAAAGCACCGGGCAAAUAACAGAGCCGGUGGUUUAUUGUUAUACAAAAUAAAGGUUCUGAACGACCGAGCAGCUCAACGUGUUCAAGGUUUUCAGAUCUCUGUACAUAACGACGCAUGUUCGGCAAGAAGACGCUGACGCAGCGUCCGAGUAAACUGAAAUACAUACGCACCACUGUAAAACAAAACACAGAUGAGAGAGAAAAUGAUCGCCAGCAUUUAACGCGGCAUCGGAUUUUCGAAAAGGAUAGACGCCAUUAAAUCCGGCGAUCCAAACUAAGUCAUCCCAGACCUUUAAAUGAUUGCCGCGCGACCAAUUCCAGCUAAUUAUAUUUCACCUACACGUUUUAAAUAUUGCCGCAGACGCAAGUUUCAGCGUCUUUGCAAAGAACAGGGUUAUUUUCACUACUUUUUCUUAACACAGUUGAUUAUACUGGAGAAACUGAAAAAGGGAGCGAUGCAAAGGUUGCAGAAUGAAGAUUCCACGGCCAAGAAGUCAACUAAUGUGUUUAUUUACUUUUGUUUGUUCCUUUUAGUAUUAAAAUAUUUUGCGUCAUUCUAGCUCGUUAUAUUCUUCUUCUACUAGAACAGUUAAAAUUAGAAAUUUUAACUUUGGGUUUGAGAUGUUAAUAAAUCAUAAAGAUGGGAUCGAGUACCUUUUUUAAAGCAUAAUAAUUACUAAGCAUUCAUAAUGUUCAA